CAGGGAGACAAAAAACGAUUAUGAUGUCUAGAUAUUUUUUCAAGACCGUAAUCCUGUCACCUUAGGUCGAUCGGUACCUCAGGUUGAAAGCUUCUUAAUCAUUGAUUUCUCAAUGCUUAUAUAGUUUUUGGUUUCAGUUCCUAAACUUGUCUAGGUCACACCCAACAAACUUUCUUCUGGGCUAUUAGCUCAGGUGGUUAGAGCGCACCCCUGAUAAGGGUGAGGUCCCUGGUUCAAGUCCAGGAUGGCCCAUUCGUUGUUGGGGGUAUAGCUCAGUUGGUAGAGCGCCUGCUUUGCAAGCAGGAUGUCAGCGGUUCGAGUCCGCUUACCUCCACUGAAACCUACCCUGGUAACUAAAUUUCCGGAGAAAAAUUGUUUAUGUGACUUAGAAUUGUCUAUCUGAAAAGUACCUAGCUUCUUAUCAUCUUUAUAUAGUUGAUAAUAUGCUGGGCUCGCAUGGAAACAUUCCAUGAGAAUUCAGUAGAACCUUGAAAACUGCAUAGAUUUAGAAAGAAUAAAGCAUCUCAUGGAUGCAUAAUUCUAGUUUAAUUAUUUAGUUUUAACUAAAUAAUUAAUACCUAGGAUUCAUGUUAAUUCUUGAGUAAUAGCCGAGCACAAAUUAUUUUUGUGUUUGUAUUUAA
rnacentral:tRNA from 1 species